CUGGAUGGUAGUGUAUUGGACUACCAUGGCAAUCACGGGUAACGGAGAAUUAGGGUUCGAUUCCGGAGAGGGAGCCUGAGAAACGGCUACCACAUCUACGGAAGGCAGCAGGCGCGAAAAUUGCCCAAUCCUGAUUCAGGGAGGCAGUGACAAGAAAUAACAACUUUCAACCUUGUUGAAAAGUGUAAUGAGGAUAAUUUACAAACCUUACCGAAAGCAAUUGGAGGGCAAGUCUGGUGCCAGCAGCCGCGGUAAUUCCAGCUCCAAAAGCGUAUAUUAAAGUUGUUGCAGUUAAAAAGCUCGUAGUUGAAGUUCUGGCUGUAUUGGGCCUUAGCACUUGAUGCGGAGGAACCAGCAGUCAUCCGCUUGCAAAUACAUGUCCUUCCUUAACCGGUAGGCUGUAUAAGUAAGCACUUUACCUUGAGAAAAACAGAGUGUUCCAGGCAGGUUUGUCCGGAAUGCGUUAGCAUGGAAUAAUAGAAUAUGACUGAAGUCGAUUUAUUGGUUUAAGGCUUUAGUAAUGAUUAAUAGGAACAAUCGGGGGCAUUGGUACUUGUCAGUCAGAGGUGAAAUUCUAGGAUUUGACAAAGACUAACUGAUGCGAAAGCGUUUGCCAAGAAUGUUUUCAUUAAUCAAGAACGAAAGUUAGGGGAUCAAAGACGAUCAGAUACCGUC
rnacentral:rRNA from 1 species